rnacentral:rRNA from 1 species
UGGGGAAUUUUGGACAAUGGGGGCAACCCUGAUCCAGCCAUGCCGCGUGAGUGAAGAAGGCCUUCGGGUUGUAAAGCUCUUUCAGCUGGAAAAAAAUCGCAUCACCUAAUACGUGGUGUGGAUGAUGGUACCAGCAGAAGAAGCACCGGCUAACUACGUGCCAGCAGCCGCGGUAAUACGUAGGGUGCGAGCGUUAAUCGGAAUUACUGGGCGUAAAGCGUGCGCAGGCGGUUUUGUAAGACAGACGUGAAAUCCCCGGGCUUAACCUGGGAACUGCGUUUGUGACUGCAAGGCUAGAGUAUGGCAGAGGGGGGUAGAAUUCCACGUGUAGCAGUGAAAUGCGUAGAUAUGUGGAGGAAUACCGAUGGCGAAGGCAGCCCCCUGGGUCAAUACUGACGCUCAUGCACGAAAGCGUGGGGAGCAAACAGGAUUAGAUACCCUGGUAGUCCACGCCCUAAACGAUGUCAACUAGGUGUUGGGGGAGGAGACUUCCUUAGUACCGCAGCUAACGCGUGAAGUUGACCGCCUGGGGAGUACGGCCGCAAGGUUG